rnacentral:lncRNA from 1 species
AGGCAGCCGUUAGACAGCACAACCGAACCCAACACCGGGGCCCAACGGCAGGGGCUUGGGCAGGAGCAAGGUCCGAGGGCUGCCAGGUCCACGCUGCUUUUAUGAGCUGUAACACUCACCGCGAAGAUCUGCAGCUUCACUCCUGAGCCCAGCGAGACCACGAGCCCACCGGGAGGAACAAACAACUCCAGACGCGCUGCCUUAAGAGCUGUAACACUUGCCGUGAAGGUCUGCAGCUUCACUCCUGAGCCAGCGAGACCACGAACCCACCAGAAGGAAGAAACUCCGAACACAUCUCAACAUCAGAACGGACAGACUCCAGACGCACCACCUUAAGAGCUGUAACACUCACCGCGAGGUUCCGCGGCUUCAUUCUUGAAAACACCAGGUGCCAGAAGACCAAACAUGCUGGCAGAUGGAAAGAAGAGGAGUGAAGAUUCACUCUCCCUUGACCAAGAUCAGAGUUCGUGAGCCACACAUCUCCCCACACCAAGCUCCUCCAUACAAGACCUCGGACUGCAUCACGUAAAUGCUUUUUCAGGGGCAAAAUCUAGAGAAUCUGAAACGAGCUAUCAGCUUCCCAGUUUGCACAAUUCAUCAAGAAAUUAUGCGGGGUCACUGGCACAAAUGAUGAGGCAUCUCCUGGAAGCUUAACUUCUUAUCCAUCCCAUCUCUUGGACAGAUGAUGCCAGUUAAUUACUUUGAAUGCUCUGCUGCUAUGGUGAGCUGCACGUCUGGAGGCUUCACAGAGACACUGGGUGAAUCUAAAUGAUGAGUUUGAUGGUGACCUGGAGGUGAAACUGUGACUUCAUGAUGUUCUAGAGGCUGACCUGGGGUCUCCUGCUGGGUCAGAGAAGAUUCGACCUCCCCAGAAGACUCAGAAGGCUGAACUGGCUGCUGCUGCUCACUGAUGGAAAGUUCAUGCUCCAUAGGAGGAACUGGAGGCUCAAUUGGGGCCUCCUGUUGGGUUGCAGAAGGUUCCACCUCCUCUGGAAACUGAAUUGGGGUCUCCUGCUGGGUUUGGGAAGAUUCUGUCUCAUUGGUAGGCUCUGAAGUUAUGGUAACCUCCACAUCUGCAGGUUUAACUGUAAUGUUGGGCAAGUGAUAAUAAGCUUGAUCCUCACCUGGAGGUUGAACUGACACCUCAUGAUUCGGUAGAGUUAGACUCUCCAUAGAGGACUCUGGAGGCAGAGCUGGGGCCUCCUGCUGCAUUGAAGAAGGUUCUUCCUCAAGGAGCUGUGGAAGCUGUGCUGGGGCUUCUUGUUGGAGUGAAGAGGACUGGAUGUCUUCAAGGGUCUCUGGAUUUUGAGUUUCGGGCUCUAGAUGGAAUUGAGAAGGUCCAACUUGCUCAGAGGGCCCUGGAGGCUCAUCUGACUUCACCCGGAGUUCUGGAGGCAGGCUACCGGGAUACGGUGUAUCUGUACUGGAAUAUUCAUUCUGCAAAUUC